UACGAAGGGGGCUAGCGUUGUUCGGAAUCACUGGGCGUAAAGCGCACGUAGGCGGAUCUUUAAGUCAGAGGUGAAAUCCCAAGGCUCAACCUUGGAACUGCCUUUGAUACUGGGGAUCUCGAGUCCGGAGAGGUGAGUGGAACUGCGAGUGUAGAGGUGAAAUUCGUAGAUAUUCGCAAGAACACCAGUGGCGAAGGCGGACUCACUGGCCGGUACUGACGCUGAGGUGCGAAAGCGUGGGGAGCAA
rnacentral:rRNA from 1 species